rnacentral:rRNA from 1 species
AUUGAACGCUGGCGGCAGGCCUAACACAUGCAAGUCGAGCGGAUGAAGGGAGCUUGCUCCUGGAUUCAGCGGCGGACGGGUGAGUAAUGCCUAGGAAUCUGCCUGGUAGUGGGGGAUAACGUCCGGAAACGGGCGCUAAUACCGCAUACGUCCUGAGGGAGAAAGUGGGGGAUCUUCGGACCUCACGCUAUCAAAUGAGCCUAGGUCGGAUUAGCUAGUUGGUGGGGUAAAGGCCUACCAAGGCGACGAUCCGUAACUGGUCUGAGAGGAUGAUCAGUCACACUGGAACUGAGACACGGUCCAGACUCCUACGGGAGGCAGCAGUGGGGAAUAUUGGGCAAUGGGCGAAAGCCUGAUCCAGCCAUGCCGCGUGUGUGAAGAAGGUCUUCGGAUUGUAAAGCACUUUAAGUUGGGAGGAAGGGCAGUAAGUUAAUACCUUGCUGUUUUGACGUUACCAACAGAAUAAGCACCGGCUAACUUCGUG